rnacentral:rRNA from 1 species
UACGUAGGGUGCAAGCGUUAAUCGGAAUUACUGGGCGUAAAGCGUGCGCAGGCGGUUCGCUAAGACAGAUGUGAAAUCCCCGGGCUUAACCUGGGAACUGCAUUUGUGACUGGCGGGCUAGAGUAUGGCAGAGGGGGGUAGAAUUCCACGUGUAGCAGUGAAAUGCGUAGAGAUGUGGAGGAAUACCGAUGGCGAAGGCAGCCCCCUGGGCCAAUACUGACGCUCAUGCACGAAAGCGUGGGGAGCAAACAGGAUUAGAUACCCUGGUAGUCCACGCCCUAAACGAUGUCAACUAGUUGUUGGGUCUUCAUUGACUUAGUAACGUAGCUAACGCGUGAAGUUGACCGCCUGGGGAGUACGGUCGCAAGAUUAAA